rnacentral:rRNA from 1 species
UGCUAAUCUUGAGACCGGCGCACGGGUGCGUAACGCGUAUGCAACCUACCUUUUACAAAGGGAUAGCCCGGAGAAAUUCGGAUUAAUACCUUAUAGUAUUGUUGAUAAUCAUUUAUUAACAAUUAAAGUUUCGGCGGUAAAAGAUGGGCAUGCGUCCUAUUAGCUAGAUGGAGUGGUAACGGCACCCCAUGGCAACGAUAGGUAGGGGUCCUGAGAGGGAGAUCCCCCACACUGGUACUGAGACACGGACCAGACUCCUACGGGAGGCAGCAGUGAGGAAUAUUGGACAAUGGACGCAAGUCUGAUCCAGCCAUGCCGCGUGCAGGAAGACGGCCCUAUGGGUUGUAAACUGCUUUUAUACAAGAAGAAUAAGACUUACGUGUAAGUUGAUGACGGUAUUGUAUGAAUAAGCACCGGCUAACUCCGUGCCAGCAGCCGCGGUAAUACGGAGGGUGCAAGCGUUAUCCGGAAUCAUUGGGUUUAAAGGGUCCGUAGGCGGGCUAAUAAGUCAGGGGUGAAAGUUUGCAGCUCAACUGUAAAAUUGCCUUUGAUACUGUUAGUCUUGAAUUAGUAGGAAGUGGUUAGAAUAAGUAGUGUAGCGGUGAAAUGCAUAGAUAUUACUUAGAAUACCGAUUGCGAAGGCAGAUCACUACUACUAU